UACGAAGGGGGCUAGCGUUGCUCGGAAUCACUGGGCGUAAAGGGUGCGUAGGCGGGUCUUUAAGUCAGGGGUGAAAUCCUGGAGCUCAACUCCAGAACUGCCUUUGAUACUGAGGAUCUUGAGUCCGGGAGAGGUGAGUGGAACUGCGAGUGUAGAGGUGAAAUUCGUAGAUAUUCGCAAGAACACCAGUGGCGAAGGCGGCUCACUGGCCCGGUACUGACGCUGAGGCACGAAAGCUAGGGGAGCAAACGGG
rnacentral:rRNA from 1 species